rnacentral:rRNA from 1 species
UGGGGAAUUUUGGACAAUGGGCGCAAGCCUGAUCCAGCCAUGCCGCGUGAGUGAAGAAGGCCUUCGGGUUGUAAAGCUCUUUCGGACGGGAAGAAAUGACGGGCUCUAACAUAGCCUGUCGAUGACGGUACCGUAAGAAGAAGCACCGGCUAACUACGUGCCAGCAGCCGCGGUAAUACGUAGGGUGCGAGCGUUAAUCGGAAUUACUGGGCGUAAAGCGUGCGCAGGCGGUUUUGUAAGACAGAUGUGAAAUCCCCGGGCUUAACCUGGGAACUGCGUUUGUGACUGCAAGGCUGGAGUACGGCAGAGGGGGGUGGAAUUCCACGUGUAGCAGUGAAAUGCGUAGAGAUGUGGAGGAACACCGAUGGCGAAGGCAGCCCCCUGGGCCUGUACUGACGCUCACGCACGAAAGCGUGGGGAGCAAACA